CCUACGGGAGGCAGCAGUGAGGAAUAUUGGUCAAUGGGCGUAAGCCUGAACCAGCCAAGUAGCGUGAGGGAUGACGGCUCUAUGGAUCGUAAACCUCUUUUAUAAGGGAAUAAAGUGCGACACGUGUCCUGUUUUGUAUGUACCUCAUGAAUAAGGACCGGCUAAGUCCGUGCCAGCAGCCGCGGUAAUACGGAGGAUCCGAGCGUUAUCCGGAUUUAUUGGGUUUAAAGGGUGCGUAGGCGGCCUUUUAAGUCUGCGGUGAAAGUCCGUGGCUCAACCAUGGAACUGCCGUGGAAACUGGGUGGCUUGAGUGUGUUGAAGGCAGGCGGAAUGCGUGGUGUAGCGGUGAAAUGCUUAGAUAUCACGAAGAACCCCGAUUGCGAAGGCAGCCUGCGGAGGCGUGACUGACGCUGAUGCACGAAGGCGUGGGGAUCGAACAGGAUUAGAUACCCCAGUAGUC
rnacentral:rRNA from 1 species